rnacentral:rRNA from 1 species
AUACGGAGGGUGCAAGCGUUAAUCGGAAUUACUGGGCGUAAAGCGUGCGUAGGUGGUUUGUUAAGUCAGAUGUGAAAGCCCCGGGCUCAACCUGGGAACUGCAUUUGAAACUGGCAUACUAGAGUAUAGGAGAGAAAAGUGGAAUUUCAGGUGUAGCGGUGAAAUGCGUAGAUAUCUGAAGGAACAUCAAUGGCGAAGGCAGCUUUCUGGACUAAUACUGACACUGAGGUACGAAAGCGUGGGUAGCAAACAGGAUUAGAAACCCCGGUAGUCC